rnacentral:rRNA from 1 species
UACGUAGGGUGCAAGCGUUGUCCGGAAUUAUUGGGCGUAAAGAGCUCGUAGGCGGUUUGUUGCGUCGGCUGUGAAAUCCCGAGGCUCAACCUCGGGUCUGCAGUCGAUACGAGCAAACUAGAGUGUUGCAGGGGGAGACUGGAAUUCCUGGUGUAGCGGUGAAAUGCGCAGAUAUCAGGAGGGAACACCCGGUGGCGAAGGCGGGUCUCUGGGCAACAACUGAC